UAAUCCUACGCCAGUAUCUACAAGGGCUAUAACCUUAACCGGAGCCAGUCACAUUCCAAUGUCAUUAUCCUACCAUCCAACUGAUGCUGGCCCGAUGAACUGCAGGGGCCCCAUCCGAAGAUAAGGUUGCAAAACACCAAGUCUGAUCUCAUAUCCUUCCCUUUCAACAUUUCCG
rnacentral:rRNA from 1 species